rnacentral:rRNA from 1 species
AUUGAACGCUGGCGGCAGGCUUAACACAUGCAAGUCGAGCGGGGGAGGUUGCUUCGGUAACUGACCUAGCGACGGACGGGUGAGUAAUGCUUAGGAAUCUGCCUAUUAGUGGGGGACAACAUUCCGAAAGGGAUGCUAAUACCGCAUACGCCCUACGGGGGAAAGCAGGGGAUCUUCGGACCUUGCGCUAAUAGAUGAGCCUAAGUCGGAUUAGCUAGUUGGUGGGGUAAAGGCCUACCAAGGCGACGAUCUGUAGCGGGUCUGAGAGGAUGGUCCGCCACACUGGGACUGAGACACGGCCCAGACUCCUACGGGAGGCAGCAGUGGGGAAUAUUGGACAAUGGGCGGGAGCCUGAUCUAGCCAUGCCGCGUGUGUGAAGAAGGCCUUUUGGUUGUAAAGCACUUUAAGCGAGGAGGAGGCUCUUAAGGUUAAUACCCUUGAUGAGUGGACGUUACUCGCAGAAUAAGCACCGGCUAACUCUGUGCCAGCCGCCGCCGUAACAC